AGAAUCAACGCUGGCGGCGUGCCUAACACAUGCAAGUCGAACGAGAAAGUGGAGCAAUCCAUGAGUACAGUGGCGUACGGGUGAGUAACACGUGACUAACCUACCCUCGAGUGGGGAAUAACCUCGGGAACCGGGGCUAAUACCGCAUAAUAUCUUCGGAUCAAAUGCGUAAGCAGCUUGAGGAGGGGUCGCGGCCGAUUAGCUAGUUGGCGGGGUAAUGGCCCACCAAGGCAAUGAUCGGUA
rnacentral:rRNA from 1 species